rnacentral:rRNA from 1 species
UGGAUCCAGACUUUGAUUCUGGCUCAGGAUGAACGCUAGCUACAGGCUUAACACAUGCAAGUCGAGGGGCAGCAUGGUCUUAGCUUGCUAAGGCCGAUGGCGACCGGCGCACGGGUGAGUAACACGUAUCCAACCUGCCGUCUACUCUUGGACAGCCUUCUGAAAGGAAGAUUAAUACAAGAUGGCAUCAUGAGUCCACAUGUUCACAUGAUUAAAGGUAUUCCGGUAGACGAUGGGGAUGCGUUCCAUUAGAUAGUAGGCGGGGUAACGGCCCACCUAGUCUUCGAUGGAUAGGGGUUCUGAGAGGAAGGUCCCCCACAUUGGAACUGAGACACGGUCCAAACUCCUACGGGAGGCAGCAGUGAGGAAUAUUGGUCAAUGGGCGAGAGCCUGAACCAGCCAAGUAGCGUGAAGGAUGACUGCCCUAUGGGUUGUAAACUUCUUUUAUAAAGGAAUAAAGUCGGGUAUGCAUACCCGUUUGCAUGUACUUUAUGAAUAAGGAUCGGCUAACUCCGUGCCAGCAGCCGCGGUAAUACGGAGGAUCCGAGCGUUAUCCGGAUUUAUUGGGUUUAAAGGGAGCGUAGAUGGAUGUUUAAGUCAGUUGUGAAAGUUUGCGGCUCAACCGUAAACUGCAGUUGAUACUGGAUAUCUUGAGUGCAGUUGAGGCAGGCGGAAUUCGUGGUGUAGCGGUGAAAUGCUUAGAUAUCACGAGGAACUCCGAUUGCGAAGGCAGCCUGCUAAGCUGCAACUGACAUUGAGGCUCGAAAGUGUGGGUAUCAAACAGGAUUAGAUACCCUGGUAGUCCACACGGUAAACGAUGAAUACUCGCUGUUUGCGAUAUACUGCAAGCGGCCAAGCGAAAGCGUUAAGUAUUCCACCUGGGGAGUACGCCGGCAACGGUGCAACUCAAAUGAAUUGACGGA